AUACGGAGGAUCCGAGCGUUAUCCGGAUUUAUUGGGUUUAAAGGGUGCGCAGGCGGCCAUUUAAGUCAGCGGUUAAAUCGUGGGGCUCAACCCCAUUCUGCCGUUGAUACUGGGUGGCUUGAUUGCGGUCGAGGUUGGCGGAAUUCGUUGUGUAGCGGUGAAAUGCAUAGAUAUGACGAAGAACACCGAUUGCGUAGGCAGCUGACCAGAUCGCAAAUGACGCUCAUGCACGAAAGUGCGGGGAUCGAACAGGAUUAGAUACCCUUGUAGUCCGCACAGUAAACGAUGAAUACUUGUUGUCGGCGAUAUAAUGUCGGAGGCAAAGCGAAAGCGAUAAGUAUUCCACCUGGGGAGUACGCCGGCAACGGUGAAACUCAAAUGAAUUGGCGGGG
rnacentral:rRNA from 1 species